rnacentral:rRNA from 1 species
ACGUACGCUGGCGGCACGCCUAACACAUGCAAGUCGAACGAAGUAGCAAUCCUUAGUGGCAGACGGGUGAGUAACAUGUAGGUAUCUGCCCUUUGGCCUGGAAUAACACGAGGAAACUUGUGCUAAUACCGGAUAAGUCUUUACGGAGAAAGCUUUAUGCACCAUUGGAUGAGCCUGCACUUGAUUAGUUUGUUGGUGGGGUAAUGGCCUACCAAGACUGUGAUCAAUAGCUGAUUUGAGAGGAUGAUCAGCCACAUUGGGACUGAGACACGGCCCAAACUCCUACGGGAGGCAGCAGUGGGGAAUCUUGCACAAUGGAGGAAACUCUGAUGCAGCGAUGCCGCGUGAGUGAAGAAGGCCCUUGGGUUGUAAAGCUCUUUCGUCGGGGAAGAAAAUGACUGUACCCGAAUAAGAAGGUCCGGCUAACUUCGUGCCAGCAGCCGCGGUAAUACGAAGGGACCUAGCGUAGUUCGGAAUUACUGGGCUUAAAGAGUUCGUAGGUGGUUGAAAAAGUUAGUGGUGAAAUCCCAGAGCUUAACUCCGGAAUUGCCAUUAAAACUUUUCAGCUAGAGUACGAUAGAGGAAAGCAGAAUUUCUAGUGUAGAGGUGAAAUUCGUAGAUAUUAGAAAGAACACCAAUUGCGAAGGCAGCUCUACUGGAUCAUUACUGA